ACUUACCACCCUGAACACACCCAAUCUUGACUAAUUUCAGAAGCUAAGCAGGGCCAGCUGUGGUUAGUACCUAGAUGGGAGCCUACCAGAUAAUAGCAGGAGUU
rnacentral:rRNA from 1 species